UGGGACUGGUCAAGGUCCCAAGAAAAUUAAGUGGGACAGAAAACUUAUGGUCUCCAGGAAGAUUCCAUGCCCUAACCCCCAGGACUACAAAUAUGAUGAGGUCACCAUCCAGUUGAAAUCCAGCAGUGGACUUUAUCUGCAAUGUGAUUUAUGGGCCAGGCUCCAUUCUCUGGGGAUUCAGCAUUUUCUGGGUCGUGGACUCACUGCAUCUGGCCAGUGCUUGAGGAAACAGACAUUGUGGGAACAAUGCAGGCAAUUUUUGGGGUCAAGCCUGGAAGUGGUGAGCAUUCCAUUGGUGAUAGGCACCUUCUCACCUACCUAGAUGCAAAGGGGUUGGGAAGUAUAAUCUAGCUGUACGAUACUUAAUCUAUCAAAUGAAAGCAUAUUUGUAAGCAAUGAACUCAUUUU